AUGUGUAGAUAUUCAAGUGGCAGUAGGCUGCUAUAUAGGAUUUGGGGUGACUUGUGUUUAUAUAUGUUCAAUUCUUGCAUUCAGACUAUGGUUCUGCGAGGCACAAGUAGCAGCGUCGAAUAUGAAGAGGGUCAUAACCAUCUCACUCACUCUCAACCUGCGCUAAAAAAUUAUUGGUAUAUGCACUUCAUGUCGACAAUUGUGAUACCAUAUGUCCUGGAUGGCAAGCUUAUUUUCAGAUUUGGUCAGAGUCCUGCUGCAAGUGUCGAGCGAUUUUCCGCUGAUGGCAAGGAUCUAAGAUGA
rnacentral:rRNA from 1 species